rnacentral:misc_RNA from 1 species
AUUUUGUCUAGCUGCUUCUACGUACUCAGGGCUAGAUGACUUGCGUUCAGAAAUAAUAAUGAUUAACAAAAGUGUGGGUUAGCCAGCACGGGAGUAAACUAGAGCAUAUUUUCCUUUGUAUUUUUUUAGCAUGACAUGAACUUAAAGAAGACAACAGGCAUAAGAAAGAGGACAAAAGGAAAUACGUGAAACGAGAAGUAGACUUA